rnacentral:misc_RNA from 1 species
UGUAAAUUGCUCAGCCACGUAAGUCAGGGUCGUAUUUUUCUGUAAUUUUUGUUAUAAAAAUUACGAUUUUUAAGUCCCUGAGGUAAUAUGUAAGAAUGGUUUAAAAAUCCAAAAAUUGAGUGCUAUAUUGUUUGUGUUUUGACUUCGUCCUGACCUCGAUUGACAAGCCAUGUCUAACUUACCUCCAAAUCCUUACAACAUCACAAGUUCGCCUCAGUUGAACGCUAAUCCGGGGCCACAGUUCAAUCAUAACCAGUCGAUGAGUCACUUGCCACCGGGCCAGUUACCGCCGGGAUACGUUGGCUUGAAACAAGAUGCUAACUCCAAUAGUCCGCUGCCGCCGUCGUCUACGCCUCAGAACCACAUGAUCAACCAAGUGAACAACUACAAUCAGAGCACGAGCAACUCGCCGGCCUUCAACAAUCCAGGGAUGAUGCCACCUUCACUUAGUGGCAUGCAAUCAUCCCCUAUGAGGCAUUCUAUUAAGCCACCUAUGGCUACAACUCCUAACCAAAACCCUUUAUUACCAAAUGUGCCUCCAUCCUCCAGGGUAGGUCCUACUGCAACAUCUUCUCCCCUGCCAUAUCCACCUAAUUACCAGCAAAAGCAGAUUAAUGAUAAUGCCCCCCCUCUCAUUCCAUCUAGUCAUAGUCAACCAUUAAUGAAUGGACCUCCUAUGGCUGGUCCGCCUGGUUCCAUAUCUCAGCCAGCCUCUCAAUAUCCUGGGCCACCUAGUGGGUUUGCCCCACCAAUGAAUAAUAGGCCUCCUGUUAGUGCACCCAAUUUUGGCCCUGGUUCUAUUAAUCAACCUUAUGGACAGCAACAAGGACCUCCACCACAAGGUCCACCAAUAAUGAAGCCUCCUGGAUCAGCACCAAUCUCAAGUGCACCAAAUAUACCAUUUUCUGGACCACCUCAAUCGGGACUACCUAGAAAUAGUCCACUGCCUGGUUUACCUAUGGGUGGUCCCCCUCUAUCGGGACCUCCUAUUUCUGGUGGAUUGCAAUCUGGACCUGCUACUAGUGGACCUCCUGUAGGUCCUCCAAGACCAAUGGGUGUAAAUGGACCCAGUAUUAAUGGACCUCCAGUAUCAAGCAUUACAGGAUUACCUAUGGGCCCCCCUGGUCUACAAAAAGGCCCUACAGGUCUCCCUGCUGGACCCACAGGCCUUAUGUCAGGCCCGCCUUUGGGUGGUCCACCAACAAGUCAACCUUAUCCUGGCCCUCAAAGAAAUGGACCUCCAAUAGCUCCUCUAACGAUGCAAAGUGGACCACUGAAUCCUCCAAUGAGUCAAGCCCCACCUAUGAGUCAAUCUUCAAUGAUGAAUCAACUGCCUCCAAUGAACCAAGGGCCACCAAUGACCCAGGGCCCACCAAUGAAUCAUGGCCCUCCAAUGAAUCAUGGCCCACCAAUGAAUCAAAUGCCCCCAAUAAACCAAGGGCCCCCAAUGAACCAAGGGCCACCAAUAAACCAAGGGCCACCAAUGAACCAAGGUCCAGGUCCACAAUUGAAUCAGAUGGGACACAGUGUUCCUCCAGCAGGACUUCAGGGCCCACCGCCAGUUAGUGCCCCUCCUGGCCCACCAAGUGGUCCUAGUGGACCUCCAAAAGGCAAUAUGCAAGGGAGAUAUCCUCAGAUGCCUCAAGGCAACUUUGGGAACCAUCAGGCCACUAUGGGCAAUGCUAAUAUGGGCAAGCAGUACCAACAGCCCCUUCAAUACGGGCAACAGCAACUGACACAGCAGAUGGGACAACUAAGUGUCACCAAGCAAGGGUUUGACCAGCUGUGGGGCCACCAGGCUGUGGACCUAAUGGCUUGCAGACAAAUCCUGCCUGAAUACCCUGAAGACCCGCCGGAGAUCCGAUUGGGACAUCAGUUUUCUGAUGCACCUAAUUGCAGCCCUGAUAUCUUCAGAUGUACCGUCAACAAGAUUCCGGACACGAACAGCUUAUUGCAAAAGUCUCGCCUUCCCCUAGGAAUACUAAUUCACCCGUUCAAGGACCUCAAUCACUUGCCAGUGAUCCAGUGCACGACGAUAGUGCGGUGUCGCGCGUGCCGCACGUACAUCAACCCUUUCGUGUACUUCGUCGACGCCAAGCGGUGGAAGUGCAACCUCUGCUACCGGGUCAAUGACCUGCCGGAAGAAUUCCAAUACGACCCAGUUAGCAAGUCGUACGGCGAUCCGACUCGGCGGCCGGAGAUCAAAUCUGCGACCAUCGAGUUCAUAGCGCCGGGAGAGUAUAUGUUGCGGCCGCCACAGCCCGCCGUCUACCUGUUCUUGCUGGAUGUGUCGCAGAUCGCCAGGGACUCCGGGUAUCUCCAGGUGGUAUGCGACACCCUACGCAACAACUUGGACCAGUUACCGGGCGAUGCGCGCACGCAGGUCGGGUUCAUCUGUUACGAUGCGCACGUGCACUACUACCUCAUGAGUGAUGGACUCACGCGACCCAAAGAGAUGACCGUGCUUGAUGUUGAUGACGUAUUCCUGCCAUCGCCAGAGUCACUGCUGGUGAACUUGGGUGAACGCAAGGAACUCAUCAAGGAACUGCUGACUGUCCUGCCGCAGCGGCACAGCGGGCCCGGUGUACCCGCAUGCGCGCUGGGCGCUGCGCUACAAGCCGCGUAUAAACUUAUGGCACCAACAGGAGGUCGCAUCACAGUGUUCCAAACGUGUUUACCGAAUGUGGGCCCGGGGGCGUUGCAGCCGAGAGAGGACCCGAACGCGCGGUCGUCAGCGGACGUGCAGCACCUGAGCCCGGCCACGGACUUCUACAAGCGCCUCGCUCUAGACUGCAGCGGCGCGCAGGUGGCCGUCGACCUGUUUCUACUCAACUCGCAGUAUGCCGACCUCGCCACGCUCAGUGGUAUGAGCAAGUUCAGCGCGGGUACGGUAUACCACGUGCCACUGUUCAAGGCGUCUCGCAGCUGGCAGGCGGACCAGCUGACGCGGAUGUUGACGCGGUACCUCACCAGGAAGAUCGGCUUCGAGGCCGUCAUGCGGGUGCGGUGCACUCGGGGUAUAACAAUCCACACGUUCCACGGGAACUUCUUCGUGCGCUCGACAGACCUUCUUUCGCUGCCCAACGUGUCCCCCGAUGCCGGCUUCGGAAUGCAGCUCACUAUAGAAGAGUCUCUGUCCGACCUACAGCAAGUCUGCUUCCAGGCCGCAUUAUUGUACACUAGUAGUAAAGGCGAGAGAAGGAUACGAGUGCACACGCUAGCGUUGCCCGUGGCCACCAGCCUCACGGACGUGCUACACGCGGCCGACCAACAGUGCAUCAUAGGACUACUUAGUAAAAUGGCCGUGGACCGCUGCUCGUCGGCGUCGCUGCCGGAGGCGCGCGAGGCGCUCAUGAACGUGGCCGUGGACGCGCUGGCGGCGCACCGCCUGGCGCAGAACCUGCCGCCCGCCGCCGCCAGCGCCGCGCUGCUGGCGCCCAGCGCGCUGCGGCUGCUGCCGCUCUACCUGCUGGCCACGCUCAAGCGGAAAGCGUUCCGCACGGGCACGUCGACGCGGCUGGACGACCGCGUGGCCGACAUGUGCGACAUGAAGGCGCUGCCGCUGGCGCAGCUCAUGCGCGGCGUGUACCCCGACCUGUACCCCGUGCACGAGCUGCGCGCGCAUGCGCCGCACGACGACGACGCGCCCGACCCGCCGCGCCUGCACCUGUCGGCCGAGAGAAUAAACAUAAACGGCGCGUACCUCCUGGACGACGGCGAGACGAUGAUGAUCUACGUGUGCUCGGGCGCCAGCCCCGCCUUCCUGUCGGACACGUUCGGCGUGACGGCGCACGCGCAGCUGCCCGACGACGCGCACGCGCUGCCCGCGCUGGACUCGCCCGGCAACCAGCUGCUGCACGCCUUCAUCGACAAGCUCAACGACGACCGCCCCUACGCCGCCAACAUACUGUUGCUCAAGGACACGUCGCCGAGUAAAAAGCUGUUCACGGAGCGACUAGUGGACGACCGCGUCGAGUCAGCAUUCGCGUACUACGAGUUCCUACAACACAUCAAGAUGCAAAUAAAAUGAGUUCCGAGUGAGUUGGUGGCGCGGACUCGCGCAAGAGCGUGAUAAGAGGACUAGGGCAUUCCUCUACUAAAAUGACUCGUUUUCUAUCGAUUUUUCGGCUGAGAAUUAAGCCGUUUUUAAUAGACAUCACUACAUAGUAUAAAAAACUCGCUUUUUCUGUCC